rnacentral:rRNA from 1 species
CGAAAGUCUGACCGAGCAACGCCGCGUGAGUGAAGAAGGUUUUCGGAUCGUAAAACUCUGUUGGUAGAGAAGAACGUUGGUGAGAGUGGAAAGCUCAUCAAGUGACGGUAACUACCCAGAAAGGGACGGCUAACUACGUGCCAGCAGCCGCGGUAAU